rnacentral:rRNA from 1 species
UACGAAGGGGGCUAGCGUUGCUCGGAAUCACUGGGCGUAAAGGGUGCGUAGGCGGGUCUUUUAAGUCAGGGGUGAAAUCCUGGAGCUCAACUCCAGAACUGCCUUUGAUACUGAAGAUCUUGAGUUCGGGAGAGGUGAGUGGAACUGCGAGUGUAGAGGUGAAAUUCGUAGAUAUUCGCAAGAACACCAGUGGCGAAGGCGACUCUUUGGCCUGUAACUGACGCUGAGGCGCGAAAGCGUGGGGAGCAAACAGG